GACGAACGCUGGCGGCGUGCUUAACACAUGCAAGUCGAACGGAAAGGCCCUGCUUUUGUGGGGUGCUCGAGUGGCGAACGGGUGAGUAACACGUGAGUAACCUGCCCUUGACUUUGGGAUAACUUCAGGAAACUGGGGCUAAUACCGGAUAGGAGCACCUGCUGCAUGGUGGGGGUUGGAAAGUUUCGGCGGUUGGGGAUGGACUCGCGGCUUAUCAGCUUGUUGGUGGGGUAGUGGCUUACCAAGGCUUUGACGGGUAGCCGGCCUGAGAGGGUGACCGGCCAAAUUGGGACUGAGAUACGGCCCAGACUCCUACGUGAGGCAGCAGUGGGGAAUAUUGCACAAUGGGCGGAAGCCUGAUGCAGCAACGCCACGUGCGGGAUGACGGCCUUCGGGGUGUAAACCGCUUUCGCCUGUGACGAAGCGUGAGUGACGGUAAUGGGUAAAGAAGCACCGGCUAACUACGUG
rnacentral:rRNA from 1 species